GGAGAAUAUUCAGGUCUAUUGUGAUUUCGAGAUGCAUUAGCCGCACUUAGAGUUAAGGAUCAACUUUGGCUUCUGUGGAAGCUGCUGAGAUUUAAAGGGUAAGAGCUCAUCCCAUUUAGAACAUGGUGUAUUCUUUCCCUCCUUGCUCAUAUCAUUUAUGAAAGGAUAAAAGACUGGAGAAAGUGUCAGAGUAGAUUCUGGAGGUACUUAUAUUGCUAGG
rnacentral:lncRNA from 1 species